GACAGAGGUGCCGAGCGUUAGGCGGAAUCACUGGGCUUAAAGCGUGUGUAGGCGGACUUCUAAGUACCUUGUGAAAUCCCACGGCUCAACCGUGGAACUGCUGGGUAUACUGCCUGUCUUGAGCCAGCCAGGGGCAGUCGGAACAGACGGUGGAGCGGUGAAAUGCGUAGAUAUCGUCUGGAACGCCAAAGGUGAAAACAGACUGCUGGGGCUGUGCUGACGCUGAGACACGAAAGCCAGGGGAGCGAACGGG
rnacentral:rRNA from 1 species